rnacentral:rRNA from 1 species
UGGCGAACGGGUGAGUAACACGUGGGUGAUCUGCCCUGCACUCUGGGAUAGGCCUGGGAAACUGGGUCUAAUACCGGAUAGGACCAUGCUUUAGUGUGUGUGGUGGAAAGUUUUUUCGGUGUAGGAUGAGCCCGCGGCCUAUCAGCUUGUUGGUGGGGUAAUGGCCUACCAAGGCGGCGACGGGUAGCCGGACUGAGAGGUUGGUCGGCCACAUUGGGACUGAGAUACGGCCCAG